rnacentral:lncRNA from 1 species
CUAGUUCUAUGCUUUUCUUACACUGUAAUUCACUCUAGCUUUUUCCCAAUUCUUCAGAAAACUGUUAGCCAUUCUUCAGCCUCAUGUUAGUCCUGUUACGAGUGCAGUGGGCAGAGAAUUAAAGAGACAGGCUGUAAACAGCAGAGCAGCCUGACCUGCUUCACCUCUCUCCCAAAACCAAUAUAACUGGAACCACAUGAUUCAGAGAGGGAAGCUGGUGAUUCUAAAAUUUACAAGGCCCCCUAGGAGUGAAAUAAGCUAAACUCCAUUGCAAAGAGGUGAUUAGGAGCUAUGUGAACACAGACUGCUGCAGCAUUGACAAAUGCAGGACUGGAUGGAGAUGAACCCCUUG